rnacentral:rRNA from 1 species
UACAGGGGGUGCAAACGUUGGCUCGGAAUCAUUGGGCGUAAAGCGCACGUAGGCGGUUCGUUAUGUCGGAUGUGAAAGCCCUUGGGCUUAAACCGAGGAAGUGCAUCCGAAACUGGCGAGCUAGAGUACGAAAGAGGAUCGCGGAAUUCCCGGUGUAGAGGUGAAAUUCGUAGAUAUCGGGAGGAACACCGGUGGCGAGGGCGGCGAUCUGGGUCGAUACUGACGCUGAGGUGCGAAAGCGUGGGGAGCAAACAGG